CCACUGCUUGCGAAAACUAUUUCUUUUAUUGUACGAAGUAUAACUCAAGGCGCAUUCUUCAACAACUUCAGAAUUGGCUAGUGCGUUUCUGGCCUCAGAUACACCAGUUUGUUCGAUAACCUUGAUAAGAAAAAACAUCGCAUAUUAGGCAGUCCCAAAACGAAAAAAUAUAACGUUUAGCAGAAUUACCCGAGUAUCGCAAGUUGAAAGAAAACAUAGCCGAAAAGAAGAAUGGUACAGAUCUUAUCGGUUCUUGUUUUCCUAGCAUAUUCAGAGCAGCGAUUCUGCCAUGAUGUUGAGCCAACUGCCAAUGACCAAUGCUCGCUUUAACAUUUUUCGAUCCAUGAACCGGGGCGUUACACGUG